GCCCACAUAGCUCAGCAGGAUAGAGCAUCCCCCUCCUAAGGGGAAGGUCGCAUGUUCGAAUCAUGUUGUGGGCACCA
rnacentral:tRNA from 1 species